rnacentral:rRNA from 1 species
AGCAGCCGCGGUAAUUCCAGCUCCAAUAGCGUAUAUUAAAGUUGUUGCAGUUAAAAAGCUCGUAGUUGAAUUUCGGGGUUUAUCCGUUGGUCGGGCUUUUUGGUCUGUACUGGCGUGAUGGAUUCCUACCUUCUGAAUAACCGGCAUGCCAUUAAUUUGGUGCGCCGGGGAAGCAGGACUGUUACCUUGAAAAAAUUAGAGUGCUUAAAGCAGGCUUAUGCCUGAAUACAUUAGCAUGGAAUAAUGAAAUAGGACGGCAUGGUUCUAUUUUGUUGGUUUCUAGGAUCACCGUAAUGAUUAAUAGGGAUAGUUGGGGGCAUUAGUAUUCAAUUGUCAGAGGUGAAAUUCUUGGAUUUAUUGAAGACUAACUACUGCGAAAGCAUUUGCCAAGGAUGUUUUCAUUAAUCAAGAACGAAAGUUAGGGGAUCGAAGACGAUCAGAUACCGUCGUAGUCUUAACCAUAAACUAUGCCGACUAGGGAUCGGAUGAUGUUAAUUUUUUAAUGACUCAUUCGGCGCCU